GACGAACGCUGGCGGCGUGCUUAACACAUGCAAGUCGAACGGAAAGGCCCUGCUUUGGGGGGGGGCUCGAGUGGCGAACGGGGGAGGAACACGGGAGGAACCGGACCGAGACUGUGGGAUAACUUCAGGAAACUGGGGCUAAUACCGGAAAGGAGCUCCUGCUGCAUGGUGGGGGUUGGAAAGUUUCGGCGUGUGGGGAUGGACUCGCGGCUUAUCAGCUUGUUGGUGGGGUAGUGGCUUACCAAGGCUUUGACGGGUAGCCGACAUGGGAGGGUGAACGGCCACAUGGGGCCUGAGAUACGGACCAGAGUGCUACGGGAGGCAGUAGUGGGGAAUCUUGCACAAUGGGACCACGCCUGAUGAGGAAGCCCCGCGUGCGGGAUGCCGGCCUUUGGGUUAAGAACCGCUUUAGCCUGAGACGAAGCGUGAGUGACGGUACUGAGUAAAGAAGCACCGGCUAACUACGUG
rnacentral:rRNA from 1 species